rnacentral:rRNA from 1 species
GAUGAACGCUAGCUACAGGCUUAACACAUGCAAGUCGAGGGGAAACGACAUCGAAAGCUUGCUUUUGAUGGGCGUCGACCGGCGCACGGGUGAGUAACGCGUAUCCAACCUGCCCACCACUUGGGGAUAACCUUGCGAAAGUAAGACUAAUACCCAAUGACGUCUCUAGAAGACAUCUGAAAGAGAUUAAAGAUUUAUCGGUGAUGGAUGGGGAUGCGUCUGAUUAGCUUGUUGGCGGGGUAACGGCCCACCAAGGCGACGAUCAGUAGGGGUUCUGAGAGGAAGGUCCCCCCACAUUGGAACUGAGACACGGUCCAAACUCCUACGGGAGGCAGCAGUGAGGAAUAUUGGUCAAUGGACGGAAGUCUGAACCAGCCAAGUAGCGUGCAGGAUGACGGCCCUAUGGGUUGUAAACUGCUUUUAUGUGGGAAUAAAGUGAGGGACGUGUCCCUUUUUGCAUGUACCUUAUGAAUAAGGACCGGCUAAUUCCGUG